UACGUAGGGCGCGAGCGUUGUCCGGAAUUAUUGGGCGUAAGGAGCUCGUAGGCGGCCUGUCGCGUCGGUUGUGAAAGCCCGGGGCUCAACCCCGGGUCUGCAGUCGAUACGGGCAGGCUAGAGUUCGGUAGGGGAGAUCGGAAUUCCUGGUGUAGCGGUGAAAUGCGCAGAUAUCAGGAGGAACACCGGUGGCGAAGGCGGAUCUCUGGGCCGAUACUGACGCUGAGGAGCGAAAGCGUGGGGAGCGAACAGG
rnacentral:rRNA from 1 species